rnacentral:snRNA from 1 species
AGACUUACCUGGCAGAGGAGACACCAUGAUCGAAAAGGUGAUUUUCGUAGGGUGAGGCUUCCCAUUGCUCUUAUGUGCUAAGCUCUGCGAUUUCCGCAAACGUGGGGAAUUGGACUGCAUAAUUUGUGGUAGUGCAGGACUACAUUCAUGCUCUGCCCUGUA